rnacentral:miRNA from 1 species
AGGUGGGAGGAUUGCUUGAGCCUGGGAGAUGGAGGUUACAGUGAGCUGAGAUCACACCACUACACUCCAGCCUGGGUGACAGAGUGAGAGCCUGUCUC